UGGGGAAUAUUGGACAAUGGGCGAAAGCCUGAUCCAGCCAUGCCGCGUGUGUGAAGAAGGUCUUCGGAUUGUAAAGCACUUUAAGUUGGGAGGAAGGGCAGUAAGCGAAUACCUUGCUGUUUUGACGUUACCGACAGAAUAAGCACCGGCUAACUCUGUGCCAGCAGCCGCGGUGAUACAGAGGGUGCAAGCGUUAAUCGGAAUUACUGGGCGUAAAGCGCGCGUAGGUGGUUCGUUAAGUUGAAUGUGAAAGCCCCGGGCUCAACCUGGGAACUGCAUCCAUAACUGGCGAGCUAGAGUAGGGCAGAGGGUGGUGGAAUUUCCUGUGUAGCCGUGAAAUGCGUAGAUAUAGGAAGGAACACCAGUGGCGAAGGCGACCACCUGGGCUCAUACUGACACUGAGGUGCGAAAGCGUGGGGAGCAAACAGG
rnacentral:rRNA from 1 species